AUUGAACGCUGGCGGCAUGCCUUACACAUGCAAGUCGAACGGUAACAGGUCUUCGGAUGCUGACGAGUGGCGAACGGGUGAGUAAUACAUCGGAACGUGCCCGAGAGUGGGGGAUAACGAAGCGAAAGCUUUGCUAAUACCGCAUACGAUCUCAGGAUGAAAGCAGGGGACCGCAAGGCCUUGCGCUCACGGAGCGGCCGAUGGCAGAUUAGGUAGUUGGUGGGAGAAAAGCUUACCAAGCCGACGAUCUGUAGCUGGUCUGAGAGGACGACCAGCCACACGGGGACUGCGACACGGCCCAGACUCCUACGGGAGGCAGCAGUGGGGAAUUGUGGACAAUGGGCGCAAGCCUGAUCCAGCCAUGCCGCGUGCAGGAUGAAGGCCUUCGGGUUGUAAACUGCCUUUGUACGGAACGAAAAGACUCCUUCUAAUAAAGGGGGUCCAUGACGGUACCGUAAGAAUAAGCACCGGCUAACUACGUGCCAGCCGCCGCAGUAAGAC
rnacentral:rRNA from 1 species